AACGAACGCUGGCGGCAGGCUUAACACAUGCAAGUCGAACGCAUCCUUCGGGGUGAGUGGCAGACGGGUGAGUAACGCGUGGGAACGUGCCCUUCAGUUCGGGAUAACCCAGGGAAACUUGGGCUAAUACCGGAUACGUGCGAGAGCAGAAAGAUUUAUCGCUGAAGGAUCGGCCCGCGUCUGAUUAGCUAGUUGGUGGGGUAAUGGCCCACCAAGGCGACGAUCAGUAGCUGGUCUGAGAGGAUGAUCAGCCACAUUGGGACUGAGACACGGCCCAACCUCCUACGGGAGGCAGCAGUGGGGAAUAUUGGACAAUGGGCGCAAGCCUGAUCAGCCAUGCCGCGUGAGUGAUGAAGGCCUUAGGGUUGUAAAGCUCUUUCGUCCGGGACGAUAAUGACGGUACCGGAAGAAGAAGCCCCGGCUAACUUCGUGCCAGCCGCCGCGGUAA
rnacentral:rRNA from 1 species